UCGGUCGGCCGGGAAGAAGUGGCCGGGGCGCUAAUCAGCCCCGGUUUGACUGUACCGGCAAAGGAAGCCCCGGCCUAACUCCGUGC
rnacentral:rRNA from 1 species